GAAAAUAAAACAAAGGAAACAAGUUAAUCUCUCAAAGGAAUUGUUCUCGUUGCCAGAUUUCCACUACCGCCGCCAAGAUGGUUUACUUCUCUACUGCCCUAUUCCUACGAAGAGCUCCUCAAGCAAAAAAAUUAAUCUCCCUACAAAAAUAAAACUCCUUUUCACCAUAUACCAACCUAGCCGUCACUUUUAGUUUAUGGGCCAAGAAAAUAAAACAAAAUAAUAGAACCCUUAGCCCACAAACUAAUGACUUUUGAUUCCCUCAAAAAAAAAAAAAAAAAAAAAAAACUAAUGACUUUUGUGGCUAAUUAAAUUAAAGAAGUAAUUCUAUAAAAUUUAUAAUAAUGACUAUCUUUCUUACCCAAAUAAAUUCCUUCAUCAGCAUGCAUCUUCUGAAAUCUUUUAAAUAAUUUCAUCAAAAUUGCCUCUUCUCUCUUUUCUAUUCUUGACUAUUUUACGGUAUCAAACUCUUCAAUUCCUGCACCAAAAGCACAUAAUUGUGUAUAUUAAAUUCGAUUAAAGCAUAAAAUAAUCCAAAAAUAUGAACAACAAAAAUACACGCAUCACCCACCAUUGAUAUAAUCGUAUCAUCCUCCGACUGUGAAUCGCCGUCGCGCCGCCUCUUCCAGGGACGACAGAUCUGCUUAACUUCCUCUCACGGUAGAUUCCCUUAGCACACCCAAUUUCUGCUGGAGGAGGUGCCGCUGCUCAGUUGGACAAACAACGGCUCUGCUGCGAAUAGAGCACAUGUUUUGGAGGCUUUGUUGUAGAGGUAGUCGGAGUUGUAGAUUCAAAUGGUGGUGUUGCACAAAAAUGAAUUAAAAGGUAUUCCAAUUAUCAAUAAUUGAUACAAAAUUUAAUAUUAAUAGAUUGAUUUCUUGGCUUCAGAGAGACAGAAAUUGAAGGUUCGAGAACCUAAACAU
rnacentral:lncRNA from 1 species